rnacentral:rRNA from 1 species
GAUGAACGCUAGCGGGAGGCCUAACACAUGCAAGUCGAGGGGUAGGGAAGCAAUUCCUGAGACCGGCGGACGGGUGCGUAACGCGUAUGCAACCUGCCUUAUACAGGGGGAUAGCCCAUGGAAACGUGGAUUAACACCCCAUAGGAUUGCGGGAUCGCAUGAUUUUGUGAUUAAAACUGAGGUGGUAUAAGAUGGGCAUGCGUCUGAUUAGGUAGUUGGUAGGGUAAUGGCCUACCAAGCCGACGAUCAGUAGGGGUUCUGAGAGGAUUACCCCCCACACUGGUACUGAGACACGGACCAGACUCCUACGGGAGGCAGCAGUGAGGAAUAUUGGUCAAUGGCCGGAAGGCUGAACCAGCCAUCCCGCGUGCAGGAUGACGGCCCUAUGGGUUGUAAACUGCUUUUGUACCUGAAGAAUAGGCCCAACGAGUUGGGAUUUGCCGGUAAGGUAUGAAUAAGCAUCGGCUAACUACGUGCCAGCAGCCGCCGUAAGAC